rnacentral:rRNA from 1 species
UACGUAGGGUGCAAGCGUUGUCCGGAAUUAUUAGGCGUAAAGAGCUCGUAGGCGGUCUGUUGCGUCGGCUGUGAAAACCCGAGGCUCAACCUCGGGCCUGCAGCCGAUACGGGCAGACUAGAGUUCGGCAGGGGAGACUGGAAUUCCUGGUGUAGCGGUGAAAUGCGCAGAUAUCAGGAGGAACACCGGUGGCGAAGGCGGGUCUCUGGGCCGAUACUGACGCUGAGGAGCGAAAGCGUGGGGAGCGAACAGG